rnacentral:rRNA from 1 species
GACGAACGCUGGCGGCGUGCCUAACACAUGCAAGUCGAACGGAAAGGCCCUGCUUUUGUGGGGUGCCCGAGUGGCGAACGGGUGAGUAACACGUGAGUAACCUGCCCUUGACUUUGGGAUAACUUCAGGAAACUGGGGCUAAUACAGGAUAGGAGCUCCUGCUGCAUGGUGGGGGUUGGAAAGUUUCGGCGGAUGGGGAUGGACUCGCGGCUUAUCAGCUUGUUGGUGGGGUAGUGGCUUACCAAGGCUUUGACGGGUAGCCGGCCUGAGAGGGUAACCGGCCACAAGGGGACUGAGAGACGGACCAGACUCCAACGGUAGGCAGCAGUGGAGAAUAUUGCACAAUGGGCGGAAGCCUGAUGCAGCAGCGCCGCGUGCGGGAUGACGGCCUUCGGGUUGUAAACCGCUGUCGCCUGUGACGAAGCGGUAUUGACGGUAAUGGGUAAAGAAGCACCGGCUAACUACGUG